GAAAAACGUUUUACAUCGGCGCGCCGGCCGAACGCUGGGCUGGUUGCGCUGGCUCGCUCCUUACAUACUCGCGUCAAACACACAUGCAUGACUCAGUGCAAGCCACACAACUCAGCAGGGCCCACUCAACGCCCAUUUUCUUCCUUAUCGUCACGCGGAGCACCACAACCGCCAAUUCCCUAUCUCUUCCUCCCCGUUUCUCAUCUCCAGCUGGCUCACGCCCAACCGCGCUUCCAUCUCCCCUCUCCACUCCGGCCAGAUGUUGGCUUCCAUCUCAACCUCUCCGGCCAGAUGCCGCGACCCCUUGAAAUUUCUGUUGCCCAAGCCCAGCUGCCACCAGGGCACUGUUGCGGGGACCAACCUGCGGAGGCAGACAAGAUGUUGAUGAUGGCCAUGAGCACUGCGGCUGCUGCGUCAGUAGCAUUCAUGGGAGCGGUCGGUUGAGCAUAUCCUCACCGACGGUGCUUCAAUCGGCAUGGCAGUCUGCUACAAGCGAUGAGGAUUUUUGCUACCACCGGCAUCGAGUCAUGCUGGAACCGGAGUCUCGGCCUCGCCAUGGCUGACGACCGCAGCGUGGAAGCUUUGCCCUGUUUUUGCUUCAACCGGCAAAGUGGGGAGCUACAACUAGCACCGCAUGGUGCUGGGACCAGCUACUACUUUGCGCCGGCGAUGGCAUAGCUGCAACCAGCGGGGACCAUUCCAUGGCGGUGGUGACAACGCCACCGACGGAGGUGCUGCAUCGGCAACACUGGGACUAGUUUUUUUUUCUGCAACCAGUCUUAGUUUUUGCUACUACCGUGUUCGUAUUUUGCUGGAACCAACCCAAUUUUGCUACCACCAUCUUGCUUUUGCUGGAACCGGCGUCUCAUUUUGCUUCCAUCAUGUUGUGUUUUUGUUGGAAUAGUUGUCUCAUCUUUUUGCUUCCACCGUGUGUUUAUAUGGCCGGGACGGGCACAAGUUUUUGCUACCACCGCUUUUUGGCUGCGAGCGACGUCGUCGCUCCAUUUGAUGCUACAACCGGCGAUAAGAUCGGUCCGCAAGGGAGACUACUGGCGACGAGAAUGGCCGGCGAGGGCGGCGACCGGAGAGCAUGUGCAGCCAACGAGACAAAAAGGAGGGACGAGAUGCAGAGAAUCUUUCCAUAUGCGCGGAAGCGGAAGGAAACAAUUUUUUUUUGUUCGCAUGGACUUUUCUUUUGCUGCAUGCUGUUAGGGCAUCUCUAAUGGUUGUAAGAUAGUUGUUGGUAGGCUUUGCCACGUAGGAUUUUCGAUGAUGUGUCAUACAAUAAAUAAAAAAAAAGUGGAAGGUUGUAUGUACAUGAACCAACACCCCUUGCACAAGCUUCAAUGUAGAAUGAGAGAGCACCUUAUUUAUUAUCUCAC
rnacentral:rRNA from 1 species